GAUGAAAGCUGGCGGCGUGCCUAAUACAUGCAAGUCGAGCGAACGGACGAGAAGCUUGCUUCUCUGAUGUUAGCGGCGGACGGGUGAGUAACACGUGGAUAACCUACCUAUAAGACUGGGAUAACUUCGGGAAACCGGAGCUAAUACCGGAUAAUAUUUUGAACCGCAUGGUUCAAAAGUGAAAGACGGUCUUGCUGUCACUUAUAGAUGGAUCCGCGCUGCAUUAGCUAGUUGGUAAGGUAACGGCUUACCAAGGCAACGAUGCAUAGCCGACCUGAGUGGGUGAUCGGCCACACUGGAACUGAGACACGGUCCAGACUCCUACGGGAGGCAGCAGUAGGGAAUCUUCCGCAAUGGGCGAAAGCCUGACGGAGCAACGCCGCGUGAGUGAUGAAGGUCUUCGGAUCGUAAAACUCUGUUAUUAGGGAAGAACAUAUGUGUAAGUAACUGUGCACAUCUUGACGGUACCUAAUCAGAAAGCCACGGCUAACUACGUG
rnacentral:rRNA from 1 species